rnacentral:rRNA from 1 species
GUAGGUGAACCUGCGGAAGGAUCUUA